UUUGUUUAUGAUUUGAACGUUGGAAUGGACACUCGAUUAGUUAAGGACAUAGGUUCAUCCCGGUCAGUUCAUUGGACACACCAGCAGGAUAUUUACUAUAAGAGAUUAUAAUUAUAACAACAAUUCACAGUCAACCACAAGAAACCCAGACGGACAAAAUGUCCGAUUUUAAACCGACAUGGAGGCCCAGUCGAAGGCCCGAUGCCCGAGGUCCCAACUACCAUCCAGACCAAGACGACUCAGAGGUAGAGGUUGUUCCAUCUCCGGUUGUAAAGGAAAAGAUGUCCUCAUGCGUUAAGGAAAAGACAUUGGAGUUCCUACUCCGGUCGCUGGUCGCUAAGACACUCAAAAAGAACAAGGUGGACGCCGCCUCAGACGUUGGUGUCUACGUUGAGCCUCUGUUGGAGAGGACGCGGGCUGAGCUGGAGGGCACCGACUUUGACCUCGACCCCAAAACCCUGAGGCAGUUUAUCAGGAACCUCUCCAUCGAUUUGUGUAAGAAGUGGGGCGGUGACCUCAACGUGCUGGUCGCGCUGAAAAAGAAGGACCCGGAACUUGGCGACUGGGUCGCCUCCACCCUUAAAGAUCGCCUCUUGGCACCACCAGCGAACUACGGUUCCGUAUGGUGGUUAUUCCCUGUGGGCCGAACCACCACCGGCACCAAGAAGUAAACAGGAAACAGCCAACAGAUUCUCAUAGAUGAAGACCACGCGGUGAGGAUGGAAUCCUGAAAGAAAAGCUCCUGAGCGUCUCCUGAGACACCAACAGAAAUAAACGGCUUGAGUAAACGU